rnacentral:rRNA from 1 species
AGAGUUUGAUCCUGGCUCAGAAUCAACGCUGGCGGCGUGCCUAACACAUGCAAGUCGAGCGAGAAAAGGGGGGCAACUCCCUGAGUAAAGCGGCGCACGGGUGAGUAACACGUGGGUAAUCUGCCCUGGAGUGGGGAAUAACACCGGGAAACCGGUGCUAAUACCGCAUACGAUCACGGAGUCUUAGGAUUUUGUGAUGAAAGGAGCAAUUCGCUCUAGGAGGAGCCCGCGGCUGAUUAGCUAGUUGGUGAGGUAACGGCUCACCAAGGCUUCGAUCAGUAUCCGGUCUGAGAGGACGGUCGGACACACUGGAACUGAGACACGGUCCAGACUCCUACGGGAGGCAGCAGUGGGGAAUUUUUCGCAAUGGGGGCAACCCUGACGAAGCAACGCCGCGUGGGUGAUGAAGUCUCUUGGGACGUAAAACCCUUUCGACGGGGAAGAAACCGCAAGGUUGACGGUACCCGUAGAAGAAGCCCCGGCUAACUCCGUGCCAGCAGCCGCGGUAAUACGGGGGGGGCAAGCGUUGUUCGGAAUUACUGGGCGUAAAGGGUGCGUAGGCGGUCCGCUAAGUUGGAUGUGAAAACUCUGGGCUUAACCCAGAGCCUGCAUUCAAAACUGACGGGCUAGAGUUCUGGAGGGGGUAGCGGAAUUCCUGGUGUAGCGGUGAAAUGCGUAGAUAUCAGGAGGAACACCGGUGGCGAAGGCGGCUACCUGGACAGAAACUGACGCUGAGGCACGAAAGCUAGGGGAGCAAACAGGAUUAGAUACCCUAGUAGUCC